GUUGUAUGGUUAAGUGACUAAGCGUACACGGUGGAUGCCUUGGCAGUUGGAGGCGAUGAAGGACGUACUAACUUGCGAUAAGCCUAGUUGAGCCAGUAAGAGGCGCUUGAGACUAGGAUUUCCGAAUGGGGAAACCCACCUGUUUACAGGUAUCAUAUGGUGAAUACAUAGCCAUAUGAGGCGAACGCGGAGAACUGAAACAUCUAAGUACCCGUAGGAAAAGAAAUCAACCGAGAUUCCGAUAGUAGCGGCGAGCGAAAUCGGACCAGCCCUUAAGCUUUAGUGUAGUUAGUGGAACAUUCUGGAAAGUUUGACGACACAGGGUGAUAGUCCCGUACACAAAAACUUAUCUAAAGUGAAAUCGAGUAGGUCGGAGCACGUGAAACUUUGACUGAAUAUGGGGGGACCAUCCUCCAAGGCUAAAUACUCCCAACUGACCGAUAGUGAACCAGUACCGUGAGGGAAAGGCGAAAAGAACCCCUGUGAGGGGAGUGAAAUAGAACCUGAAACCGUGUACGUACAAGCAGUAGGAGCAGGCUCGUCCUGUGACUGCGUACCUUUUGUAUAAUGGGUCAGCGACUUAUAUUUUGUAGCGAGGUUAACCGAUUAGGGUAGCCGUAGCGAAAGCGAGUCUUAACUGGGCGCUUAGUUGCAAGGUAUAGACCCGAAACCCGGUGAUCUAGCCAUGGGCAGGUUGAAGGUUGAGUAACAUCAACUGGAGGACCGAACCCACUAACGUUGAAAAGUUAGGGGAUGACCUGUGGCUAGGAGUGAAAGGCUAAUCAAACCGGGAGAUAGCUGGUUCUCCCCGAAAUCUAUUUAGGUAGAGCCUCGGACGAAUACUUACGGGGGUAGAGCACUGUUAAGGCUAGGGGGUCAUCCCGACUUACCAACCCUUUGCAAACUCCGAAUACCGUAAAGUACUAUCCGGGAGACACACGGCGGGUGCUAACGUCCGUCGUGAAGAGGGAAACAACCCAGACCGCCAGCUAAGGUCCCAAAGUGUAUGUUAAGUGGGAAACGAUGUGGGAAGGCUAAAACAGCUAGGAGGUUGGCUUAGAAGCAGCCACCCUUUAAAGAAAGCGUAAUAGCUCACUAGUCGAGUCGGCCUGCGCGGAAGAUGUAACGGGGCUAAACAUACCACCGAAGCUGCGGCUGCGAAU
rnacentral:rRNA from 2 species